rnacentral:tRNA from 1 species
GCGGGGAUGGCGGAAUUGGUAGACGCGCUAGCUUGAGGUGCUAGUGGUGAGAGCCGUGGCCGUUCAAGUCGGCUUCUCCGCA